GACAAUGAGUUGCGGGCUACGGAUGACACUUGAUCUUGAUUAUAGCAUCAAGGCAUGAGGCAUUGAUUCCAAGACAUGGCAUAAACGGAUGGGCAAAGACAAGCAAAUGUGCAAACGGAAAGGCAAUGUGCGGACAGAUUUGGCGUGGGUUCGAGUUGCGGCAAAUGGGCCAAGUUCGUGGGCAAUGUUAAGGCAAAUUGGGGCACAAUGCAGCUGGAUAUAAUGGCAUUGGCGCAUGGUCCAAGCCAACACACGAAAUUGGGCAGCAACAUGAGAAUGGACCAAGUCAAACGGCGGUUACCGGCACAUGCUGUGCACAUGGGCAGCGGUUGAGCUUUGUCUAUCAUGCUGGCAGGGAGUUGGCACGAAUUGAGGCCAUGAUCCCAUGAUCUAAACAUGUUCCUAGUAGUUAGGGGUGUCAACUACACUUAGGAUAAAGUAGUGGGCAAGUGUAAGCCUAAAAACUAGGCAACUAUUGUGUAAUGAGGCUGUUUUCAUGUGUUAUAAAUGGGCAGCACCCUUCUCUUUUGUGACUUAAGGAGAAAAACGUGAGAGAGUUCACAAUAGAGUGGAAAACGUGACGAGGGCAUGUUUUAUGACUUAGGAAGAGUCCUAAGUCCUAAGAUAGAGAAAAACGUGUGGGAGCACACUUAAAGACUGAAAACGUGUAGAGUGCAUGUUUUCUGAUUUAGGAAGAGUCCUAAGUCUUGUUAUCAAGAGUGAAAACAGUAAGGCUAAGAGUAGUCUUGUGAGGGUCAAGAGUGAUCUUCAUUUUUGUACGCUGAGUAUACUUUGAGUUUGAGUUUUCUUUGUAUUCUCGAGUUAAAUACAAAGUUGGGAAAGAGUUCCUGUAUAUUGUGUGUCUUGUGUUCACGUUUUAUAUCUGUCGCUUCACUAUAUUUUCGUUGCCUAAAUCAGUCUAAAGUUUACUACGUUGAAAGACUGCUAAAAUUAAUCAAAGUCCAAAGUUGUUGAAAUUUUGGCCGAGUGUUGGAGCAGGCUGAAGUCAAGCCGGUACUUGGCUGCCGCGCGGGCUGUUUUAGAGUGACACAAAACGAGCCCGUGACAAUUGGUAUCAGAGCCAGGUUGAGAGCUGAUCAGGUUUGUGGCGGAGACGCGACGGGUGAUGGCAGAUCUCGUGGUCUUGUUCGAGAACAUGGCCGGUGGUAACAAUGAACUGCGAGAAAGGCUAACGAAACUGGAAACAUUGGAGGGAAAUGUUGUUGAUGGCAAAGAACUUAAGCCUCUUAUGAGUAGACUUGCAUUUCUUGAGGCAGAAAUGGCAAGGAAGCGAGUGAACACAGAUGUGAAGACACGUUGCCAAGACAUGGCAGAAAUGGAUGGGCAAAGACAAGCAAAUGUGCAAACGGAAAGGCAAUAUGCGGGCAGAUUUGGCGUGGGUUCGAGUUGCGGCAAACGGGCCAAGUUCGUGAGCAAUGUUAAGGCAAAUCGGGGCACAAUGCAGCUGGAUAUAAUGGCAUUGGCGCAUGGUCCAAGCCAACACACGAAAUUGGGCAGCAACUUGAGAAUGGACCAAGUCAAACGGCGGUUACCGGCACAUACUGUGCACAUGGGCAGCGGUUGAGCUUUGUCUAUCAUGCUAGCAGGAGUUAGCACGAAUUGAGGCCAUGAUCCUAUGAUCUAAACAUGUUCCUAGUAGUUGGGGGUGUCAACUACACUUAGGAUAAA
rnacentral:lncRNA from 1 species